CGCAGUGUAGCUUAAUCAAAGCAUCCCGCUUACACCGAGAAAAUGUUCAUAAAAUUGACCCACUUCGA
rnacentral:tRNA from 1 species